GGGUUGUGAGGUUAAGCGACUAAGCGUACACGGUGGAUGCCCUGGCAGUCAGAGGCGAUGAAGGACGUGCUAAUCUGCGAUAAGCGUCGGUGAGGUGAUAUGAACCGUUAUAACCGGCGAUUUCCGAAUGGGGAAACCCAGUGUGUUUCGACACACUAUCAUUAACUGAAUCCAUAGGUUAAUGAGGCGAACCGGGGGAACUGAAACAUCUAAGUACCCCGAGGAAAAGAAAUCAACCGAGAUUCCCCCAGUAGCGGCGAGCGAACGGGGAGGAGCCCAGAGCCUGAAUCAGUGUGUGUGUUAGUGGAAGCGUCUGGAAAGGCGCGCGAUACAGGGUGACAGCCCCGUACACAAAAAUGCACAUAUUGUGAGCUCGAUGAGUAGGGCGGGACACGUGGUAUCCUGUCUGAAUAUGGGGGGACCAUCCUCCAAGGCUAAAUACUCCUGACUGACCGAUAGUGAACCAGUACCGUGAGGGAAAGGCGAAAAGAACCCCGGCGAGGGGAGUGAAAAAGAACCUGAAACCGUGUACGUACAAGCAGUGGGAGCCUCUUAAUGGGGUGACUGCGUACCUUUUGUAUAAUGGGUCAGCGACUUAUAUUCUGUAGCAAGGUUAACCGAAUAGGGGAGCCGAAGGGAAACCGAGUCUUAACUGGGCGUUAAGUUGCAGGGUAUAGACCCGAAACCCGGUGAUCUAGCCAUGGGCAGGUUGAAGGUUGGGUAACACUAACUGGAGGACCGAACCGACUAAUGUUGAAAAAUUAGCGGAUGACUUGUGGCUGGGGGUGAAAGGCCAAUCAAACCGGGAGAUAGCUGGUUCUCCCCGAAAGCUAUUUAGGUAGCGCCUCGUGAAUUCAUCUCCGGGGGUAGAGCACUGUUUCGGCAAGGGGGUCAUCCCGACUUACCAACCCGAUGCAAACUGCGAAUACCGGAGAAUGUUAUCACGGGAGACACACGGCGGGUGCUAACGUCCGUCGUGAAGAGGGAAACAACCCAGACCGCCAGCUAAGGUCCCAAAGUCAUGGUUAAGUGGGAAACGAUGUGGGAAGGCCCAGACAGCCAGGAUGUUGGCUUAGAAGCAGCCAUCAUUUAAAGAAAGCGUAAUAGCUCACUGGUCGAGUCGGCCUGCGCGGAAGAUGUAACGGGGCUAAACCAUGCACCGAAGCUGCGGCAGCGACACUAUGUGUUGUUGGGUAGGGGAGCGUUCUGUAAGCCUGUGAAGGUGGCCUGUGAGGGUUGCUGGAGGUAUCAGAAGUGCGAAUGCUGACAUAAGUAACGAUAAAGCGGGUGAAAAGCCCGCUCGCCGGAAGACCAAGGGUUCCUGUCCAACGUUAAUCGGGGCAGGGUGAGUCGACCCCUAAGGCGAGGCCGAAAGGCGUAGUCGAUGGGAAACAGGUUAAUAUUCCUGUACUUGGUGUUACUGCGAAGGGGGGACGGAGAAGGCUAUGUUGGCCGGGCGACGGUUGUCCCGGUUUAAGCGUGUAGGCUGGUUUUCCAGGCAAAUCCGGAAAACCAAGGCUGAGGCGUGAUGACGAGGCACUACGGUGCUGAAGCGACAAAUGCCCUGCUUCCAGGAAAAGCCUCUAAGCAUCAGGUAACAUCAAAUCGUACCCCAAACCGACACAGGUGGUCAGGUAGAGAAUACCAAGGCGCUUGAGAGAACUCGGGUGAAGGAACUAGGCAAAAUGGUGCCGUAACUUCGGGAGAAGGCACGCUGAUAUGUAGGUGAAGCGACUUGCUCGUGGAGCUGAAAUCAGUCGAAGAUACCAGCUGGCUGCAACUGUUUAUUAAAAACACAGCACUGUGCAAACACGAAAGUGGACGUAUACGGUGUGACGCCUGCCCGGUGCCGGAAGGUUAAUUGAUGGGGUUAGCGGUANNNNNNNNNNNNNNNNNNNNNNNNNNNNNNNNNNNNNNNNNNNNNNNNNNNNNNNNNNNNNNNNNNNNNNNNNNNNNNNNNNNNNNNNNNNNNNNNNNGCGAAGCUCUUGAUCGAAGCCCCGGUAAACGGCGGCCGUAACUAUAACGGUCCUAAGGUAGCGAAAUUCCUUGUCGGGUAAGUUCCGACCUGCACGAAUGGCGUAAUGAUGGCCAGGCUGUCUCCACCCGAGACUCAGUGAAAUUGAACUCGCUGUGAAGAUGCAGUGUACCCGCGGCAAGACGGAAAGACCCCGUGAACCUUUACUAUAGCUUGACACUGAACAUUGAGCCUUGAUGUGUAGGAUAGGUGGGAGGCUUUGAAGUGUGGACGCCAGUCUGCAUGGAGCCGACCUUGAAAUACCACCCUUUAAUGUUUGAUGUUCUAACGUGGGCCCCUAAUCGGGGUUGCGGACAGUGUCUGGUGGGUAGUUUGACUGGGGCGGUCUCCUCCUAAAGAGUAACGGAGGAGCACGAAGGUUGGCUAAUCCUGGUCGGACAUCAGGAGGUUAGUGCAAUGGCAUAAGCCAGCUUGACUGCGAGCGUGACGGCGCGAGCAGGUGCGAAAGCAGGUCAUAGUGAUCCGGUGGUUCUGAAUGGAAGGGCCAUCGCUCAACGGAUAAAAGGUACUCCGGGGAUAACAGGCUGAUACCGCCCAAGAGUUCAUAUCGACGGCGGUGUUUGGCACCUCGAUGUCGGCUCAUCACAUCCUGGGGCUGAAGUAGGUCCCAAGGGUAUGGCUGUUCGCCAUUUAAAGUGGUACGCGAGCUGGGUUUAGAACGUCGUGAGACAGUUCGGUCCCUAUCUGCCGUGGGCGCUGGAGAACUGAGGGGGGCUGCUCCUAGUACGAGAGGACCGGAGUGGACGCAUCACUGGUGUUCGGGUUGUCAUGCCAAUGGCACUGCCCGGUAGCUAAAUGCGGAAGAGAUAAGUGCUGAAAGCAUCUAAGCACGAAACUUGCCCCGAGAUGAGUUCUCCCUGAGACUUAGAGUCUCCUGAAGGAACGUUGAAGACGACGACGUUGAUAGGCCGGGUGUGUAAGCGCAGCGAUGCGUUGAGCUAACCGGUACUAAUGAACCGUGAGGCUUAACCUUACAACGCCGAAG
rnacentral:rRNA from 1 species